UUCAGUGCCUGCUUUGAUAUAUUAAAAAUUGGAAAUGAUACAGAGAAGAUUAGCAUGGCGCCUGAGCCAGAAUGACCACAAAUUCGUGAAGUGUUCCAUAUUUUU